rnacentral:rRNA from 1 species
UACAGAGGUGGCAAGCGUUGUUCGGAAUUACUGGGCGUAAAGGGCGCGUAGGCGGUUCGUCAAGUCCUGUGUGAAAUCCCCCGGCUCAACUGGGGAACUGCACAGGAAACUAGCGGGCUUGAGUUCGGGAGAGGGAAGCGGAAUUCCGGGUGUAGCGGUGAAAUGCGUAGAUAUCUGGAGGAACACCGGUGGCGAAGGCGGCAUCCUGGACCGGUAUUGACGCUGAGGCGCGAAAAGCUAGGGGAGCAAACAGGG